ensembl:lncRNA
GGCGCUCAAUGGGGCAGGGAUGUGGGGCUCAAUGGGGCUCAGUGGGGCUCAAUGGGGCCCAAUGGUUCUCAGUGGGGCUCAAUGGGGCUGAGAUGUGGGGCUGGGAGUGUGGGGCUGAGAUGUGGGGCUCAAUGGGGCUCAGUGGGGCUCAAUGGGGCUCAGUGGGGUUCAAUGGGGCUCAGUGGGGCUCAAUGGGGCAGGGAUGUGGGGCUCAAUGGGGCUGAGAUGUGGGGCAGGGAUGUGGGGCUCAAUGGGGCCCAAUGGUUCUCAGUGGGGCUCAAUGGGGCCCAAUGGUUCUCAGUGGGGCUCAGUGGGGCUCAAUGGGGCUGAGAUGUGGGGCUGGGAGUGUGGGGCUGAGAUGUGGGGCUCAAUGGGGCUCAGUGGGGCAGAGAUGUGGGGCUCAAUGGUGCUGAGAUGUGGGGCUGGGAGUGUGGGGCAGGGAUGUGGGGCUCAGUGGGGCUCAGUGGGGCAGGGAGUGGGGGGCUCAAUGGGGCUCAAUGGGGCAGGGAUGUGGGGCUCAAUGGGGCCCAAUGUUUCUCAAUGGUCUCAAUGUUUCUCAAUGGGGCUCAGUGGUUCUCAAUGGGGCUCAAUGGGGCUCAGUGGAGUAGGGAUGUGGGGCUCAAUGGGUCCCAAUGGGGCUCAAUGGAGCUCAGUGGGGCAGGGAUAUGGGGCUCAAUGGGGCCCAAUGGUUCUCAAUGGGGCCCAAUGUUUCUCUAUGGGUCCCAGUGUUUCUCAAUGGGGCUCAGUGGGGCAGGGAUGUGGGGCUCAAUGGGUCCCAAUGUUUCUCUAUGGGUCCCAGUGUUUCUCUAUGGGUCCCAGUGUUUCUCAGUGGGUCCCAGUGUUUCUCUAUGGGUCCCAAUGUUUCUCUAUGGGGCUCAGUGGGGCUCAAUGGGGCCCAAUGUUUCUCAAUGGGGCCGAAUGUUCCUCAAUGGGGCUCAGUGUUUCUCUAUGGGGCUCAAUGGGGCAGGGAUGUGGGUCUCAAUGGGUCCCAAUGUUUCUCUAUGGGUCCCAAUGUUUCUCUAUGGGUCCCAGUGUUCCUCUAUGGGUCCCAGUGUUUCUCUAUGGGGCUCAGUGGGGCUCAGUGGGUCCCAGUGCUUCUCUAUGGGGCCCAAUGUUUCUCAAUGGGGCCCAAUGUUCCUCAAUGGGGCUCAGUGUUUCUCUAUGGGGCUCAGUGGGGCAGGGAUGUGGGUCUCAAUGGGUCACAAUGUUUCUCUGUGGGUCCCAAUGUUUCUCUAUGGGGCUCAGUGGUGUUCAGUGGGUCCUAGUGUUUCUCAAUGGGGCCCAAUGUUUCUCUAUGGGGCUCAGAGGGGCUCAAUGGGGCCCAAUGUUUCUCAAUGGGGCCCAAUGUUUCUCAAUGGGGCCCAAUGUUCCUCAGUGGGGCUCAGUGUUUCUCUAUGGGGCUCAGUGGGGCUCAGUGGGUCCCAGUGUUUCUCAAUGGGGCUCAGUGGGGCAGGGAUGUGGGUCUCAAUGGGUCCCAAUGUCUCUCUAUGGGUCCCAAUGUUUCUCUAUGGGUCCCAGUGUUUCUCAGUGGGUCCCAAUGUUUCUCUAUGGGGCUCAGUGGGGCAGGGAUGUGGGUCUCAAUGGGUGCUAA